AUGAAACAUUCCUCUGCAUCAGCACCACUUCUUUUGCCUUACCCUUACCUUGCGCCUUUGGGCUCCUCAACCUUUAAAUGGGUGAAGAAAACAGCAGCAGUGUCUCGGCAGUGUCCUUGCUGGGGAGCUUGGCUGAGAGAAAGAGUCGCUACCGAGGGACCCCCGGCAGCUGUCGGGGGAGGAGGGGUGGGUGCGGAGGGGUAUGCGAUGCUGAUGGAGGAGAAGCCUUCGGCCAUUCCUGAGCGGGGAGGAGCCGCUUCCCGCUGGGGAGGAGAGGCCGUGUGUGGGGCGGGAGGGGUGAGGGAAGCGGCCGUGGGCUCCUCCCCUGGCCUCCGUCCCUUCGCCGCCGCGUUGCACAGGUUUAUGAUUGCCACACUUGCUGCUGCUUCUCAUAUCGCUUCAAUCCCCAUCAACAUUUCAUUUGUUGACCCUGAAGGGGUAAGACCCUGUCUUACCUUUCUUCUUGGUGAGUAAGUGGUUUUGCCAUUUUGGGAGUUGGCUGUGACACAGAACAGUUAUGCUGGGGAUUUGCCAGAUCUCAGCCCUUGGAGAGCCCAACUCUUAAUGCAGUUAUCUGCAUCCAUGCAGGCCAGCAACCGUAAGUUUGGACCUAUUGGGAAAUCCGAGGAGCUAAGCUGGUUUGCCCUGCUGGUUUGAGUGUAGAUAGUUAGUAUCACUAAAAUACAGUAGCAAUACUGUAGAACACAGUAGCUUCUCCAGCAUCCAGCAGGAGAAGCUUCACUGAUGCAGACAGCAGCUUCUGAUAAAGAAAACGCAUAGAAGUGUGAUUGUUCCAGUAGCAGGUCACUCAGAAUAAUCUGUGAGCUGGCAGGGCUCAGUUAUAGCUUGACAGGGGAGUGCUGGGGAGCAUUUGAAAAAGUUCCCCUUCACUGCAGAUGUCUUGGGAAAGUGUGAGAAUUUUGUAGUGGCAGAGUUGGCACAUUUACAGAAUUGUUGAGGGGUUUUGACUUUUGAUUUUGUUAAUAUGACUGUAAUCAGAAUCUAAGAAUAUUCUUCCAGAUACCCCUUGAUCUGCUGAAACAACAGUAUGUUUUGACUGUUACUGGGGGCUGUCAGUCGUUUGUGUUGAUCAUGCAGAUUCUCAUUGUUUGUGUGGAGGUGAUUCAGUUGUGAUCUUGGCAAAAAAUUAGCUUCCUGCAUGGGAAAUCAUAUGUGCAAGUUUGUACCUAAAUAGUACCUAAAUGAACUUACCUUUGAAUUGUAAUUACAAUAUAACUUCAGGCCUACUAUAUGGUAGGCACAUUAACUACAAUUACAAGAAGCCCUGCAGUAGAGAGCAAUCUGAUCCUGACUCCUCUUGCUUAAUGCCUUGUGGAGAAAAAUAGGAAUAAAUGGACAUCUAAAAAGAGCUCCCA
rnacentral:lncRNA from 1 species